CCUACGGGUGGCAGCAGUGGGGAAUAUUGCACAAUGGGCGCAAGCCUGAUGCAGCCAUGCCGCGUGUGUGAAGAAGGCCUUCGGGUUGUAAAGCACUUUCAGCGGGGAGGAAGGCGUUAAGGUUAAUAACCUUGUCGAUUGACGUUACCCGCAGAAGAAGCACCGGCUAACUCCGUGCCAGCAGCCGCGGUAAUACGGAGGGUGCAAGCGUUAAUCGGAAUUACUGGGCGUAAAGCGCACGCAGGCGGUCUGUCAAGUCGGAUGUGAAAUCCCCGGGCCCAACCUGGGAACUGCAUUCGAAACUGGCAGGCUAGAGUCUUGUAGAGGGGGGUAGAAUUCCAGGUGUAGCGGUGAAAUGCGUAGAGAUCUGGAGGAAUACCGGUGGCGAAGGCGGCCCCCUGGACAAAGACUGACGCUCAGGUGCGAAAGCGUGGGGAGCAAACAGGAUUAGAUACCCUUGUAGUC
rnacentral:rRNA from 1 species